UCCACGGUAUCGAGGUGCAUGCACACUUA
rnacentral:sRNA from 1 species